GCAUAUCAAUAAGCGGAGGAAAAGAAACCAACAGGGAUUGCCCCAGUAACGGCGAGUGAAGCGGCAACAGCUCAAAUUUGAAAUCUGGCCCUUGGGUCCGAGUUGUAAUUUGUAGAGGAUGCUUUUGGCGAGGUGCCUUCCGAGUUCCCUGGAACGGGACGCCAUAGAGGGUGAGAGCCCCGUCUGGUCGGACACCGAGCCUCUGUAAAGCUCCUUCGACGAGUCGAGUAGUUUGGGAAUGCUGCUCAAAAUGGGAGGUAUAUGUCUUCUAAAGCUAAAUAUUGGCCAGAGACCGAUAGCGCACAAGUAGAGUGAUCGAAAGAUGAAAAGCACUUUGAAAAGAGGGUUAAAAAGUACGUGAAAUUGUUGAAAGGGAAGCGCCUAUGACCAGACUUGGGCCCGGUGAAUCAUCCAGCGUUCUCGCUGGUGCACUUUGCCGGGCACAGGCCAGCAUCAGUUUGGCGCGGGGGAAAAAGGCUUUGGGAAUGUGGCUCCCUCGGGAGUGUUAUAGCCCAUUGUGUAAUACCCUGCGCCGGACUGAGGUACGCGCAUUGCAAGGAUGCUGGCGUAAUGGUCAUCAGCGACCCGUCUUGAAACACGGACCAAGGAGUCGUCUUCGUAUGCGAGUGUUCGGGUGUCAAACCCCUACGCGUAAUGAAAGUGAACGCAGGUGAGAGCUUCGGCGCAUCAUCGACCGAUCCUGAUGUUCUCGGAUGGAUUUGAGUAAGAGCAUACGGGGCCGGACCCGAAAGAAGGUGAACUAUGCCUGUAUAGGGUGAAGCCAGAGGAAACUCUGGUGGAGGCUCGCAGCGGUUCUGACGUGCGAAUCGAUCGUCAAAUAUGGGCAUGGGGGGCGAAAGACUAAUCGAACCUUCUAGUAGCUGGUUUCCGUCGA
rnacentral:rRNA from 1 species